CUGAAUAAUGCUGACAUAGUAUACGUGGCAGUAAAAUGGUGGACUAAGUAUCUAGUUACAACAACCCUGUGAGGCAGGCCAAUCAUUUGAGUUGUAGGCUCUGUGUCGCCCAGCAAGUGUCUUGGCUGAAUGAGGAUUUGGACUCGGGUUUUCCCGGUCCUAUUCCAGCACUCUAACCACUGCACUACGUUGGCUGACAAUCAUACUCACAGUCCUUUGUCAGGGCAAUCAAUCUCCAUCCAGUAUAACUGACUUCAUCGUCAGUAACGUGUAGAUAGUUGUGGUGUCCCCGUUCUCCAUCUUUAGCCUCAUAAUUAACCAGUCACUGAUGGAUUCAAGUUUGGGUUUGACAUUUCUGUAAAGUGAAAACAACCUCUCGAGACAAGGAAAAAGAUAGCCCACACAGUAUGUCCAGUGAGAUACUAUACCUUGGUAAAGUAGGAUUGUUUACUACACAAAUUACACAGGCUGUUGCCACAUGUUCUGCAAAAGGGUACAUCCAAGAGGCACAAAAGUGUCUUUGUAUUGACUAGGAAAAACCAAAGGAUUGGUUCUGCAAGAAUUCCACAUCCAUCUGCUGUUCUUUACCAGCUAUCCUCUUCUAAAUGCGCCCCCCUGCUGUGGUGCAAAGUCAAUGUCCUUUUUCUGAAUAUGGGGUGCCAAGAUAGUUAGCACAGGAAUCAAAGAUGCUUGGAAACAGGAAUAGAAGGAGCAGCGGUUUUAGCUGCAGCAUCUGCCAUCCAUUUACCCUUUGUCACUGGGUCAGUUUCCUCUGGUGACCUCUGGUAUGGAUGACUGCAACCUCUUCUAGUAGUGUAACAGCAGUCUAGAGUUCUGAUAUCUGUGUCCCAUAUUUUACUUCCUUGUUUCCCACUGUUAAAAUCUUCUUUCUUUCCAAGUGGCCCCAGGAGUUGUGUAAAAAUUACCUUGAAGGUGAUGAGCUCUGCAAGCUGUGCUGAGAUACCUGGAGAAAGAGCAUGGUCAGUCGCUUCUCCAUAGCCAGCUUACGUUGUCCAUCUUACAUGAAGCUGCCUCCAUCUGUGUACAGUUCAUCUUUAAGAUCAGAAUGGCUUGGCAUAGAUGCAGUCCACAGCUUGCAAGCAAUCAUGUUCUUGGUCUUCUGUAGACUCAAAAGGAAGUAAGUUAGCUGGAUUAAGAACAAAAGUAGUAGCCAUGGAAACCCCAGGAUUCCUCACCAAAGUCACAUGAUAUUUGGUCAUGUGUGGGGGAGUCGGGGGUCAGCCAUCUAUUGCCCCAGACUAAUCCCCUUUUAGCUGGGAAGAACCGAUGAGUAAGGGUUUGGGGUUUGACAUCUUUGUAGGGUAACAAUAUCCUCUUGGGGGGGGGGACCUGUAUAAGAAGGAAACAGUCCAUGCCCCCAGGCAGAAUACUAUACCUUGAUGACAUAGGACUUCUGGACGGGGCCUAAUGUCUCAUGAAGCAAAUUAAAGUGUCCCUUUUUCACAGGCCUCUUUAGUAAAAGGUAAAAAUUGUCCAUAAUCUUGCAGAGGGGUAAAACUUGUGAUAAUAAAGUCAAGUCUCUCAUCAGGAGCUGUGAAAACAGGGUAUGGGUUUCACAGUAACACACAAAGCUUGAUCCUGUCAAACUGGGAAGUCUUCUAGGUAAAAUGCAAAUUGGUACUUUGGAACUCCCUUCCACUUGCAGGAGUGGCAAAACAAAAUUCCUUUCAUCAAAUUGCAUAUCUGGGAUCUGGAAUUUUUAGAUUCAGCUGCUGUGAAGGCAAAGUAGGGCUGGUGGAUGAGUCAAAUUUUAAAAUUUAAACCUUAGACCAUUGGUAGCUCUCAGUUUACAUCAAUUUCAGCUAGCAGAAAUAUUGCAUAGAUUUUGCAAAAACAUUACACUAAUACAAUUAGACUAAUUUAUCUUAAAAUCCAUUUUUCCUUCUCACCCACAAUUAACUGGCUUUUCAGAGAACCUGCAAACUGCUUUUCAGAGAACCUCUUGAGUUCACAGAAAUAGGUAAGAUAAGAUAGACCAUUGUCAAGGAAAUCAGUAAACAUAACACAUAAAGGCUUAUGAUACUCAGUAGUGGCAGAAAUAUCACAAUCAACUUAACAUAAGAAUGAAUGAAGUAGAGCUUGCUCUCAUGCCUAAUGCAUUUAGCCAUCCAUAAGCAGCACUUUUGCAGAGGUGGGAAGAUUCAGUUGCUCAUGACCAAUUUUAUGUUCAAUUAAUAUAAUAACUGCUAAUUUAGGAAUUCAAUGUCAGAGCAAGUUUGGUCUGGAGCAGUUUACAGAAAGGGAAAAAAACAUGUCACUAGUAUAAAUAUAUUCACAAAUACAACAGAAUAAACAGAAUAAUUACAACUGAAACCUCAUCUUCACAGGGAUGAGUUAUAAGAUUAAUGAGGUUGAAUUCCUACACAGAACCAGAGCUUUGGGCUCCCUGUUCAGAAACAUGCACGCGCACGCACACACACACAGGCUCGUCUUGUGUAUUUCACAGAACAAAGGACUAAACAAAGAAAACUUCAUAUGAAUCCCAAAGAAUUUUAUAACAUUUUAAAUAUGUCAGCCAUAAACUCAGUUAAGAAAGUAGUUUAAACAGAACAACCUUAUCACAGUUAUCCAUGAAAACAACCUGUAAUUCUAUAUUACCUUUCCAUAUCACAAUCUUAUAACUUACUGGUGCUUUUCAAGCAUUUUUCUUUUUGUUGUUGUUAACAACCUCAACCCAAAAUCUUUUUACGUGUUUCCUUCUAGUUUUUUUUUCUUUUGUCUGCAAUUCCCAUAUGCAUUCCUUCAAAACUCCAUUUUCUUUCCUCUUUUCCAACUCAAGUAGUUGAAGAGAGAUAGAAAAAAAAGAAAAAGAGAACAAAAGCAGCCUUUUGUUCAGAUAAACUUUUGCAGCUAGAACAGUGUUAUCUUUUGGCUUGGUUACAACAGGACAGUGACAGAGACUGUUUGCAGACUGUUUGCAACACACGGGCAAAGCUUGGAAGCAACUUGGAAACAGAACACAGAGAGAGAAAUGAUUUUUGCAAAAGACAAUCAUUCUUCCUUCCUUAACACUUAUAAAACAGAGGCAAGUGCAAAAGGAUGUUAUUUUCGGAGUCAUGAGGCCUUUGACUCGAUUUCAUAGUGGCCAAACUUUCAUACAAAGGCAUUUCAAAACAUAUUUUCUAAGAGCACUCUUUGCUCCCAUGAUAAUCACCCAAUUUUUCAACACACACUCCAAAGGUGUACAUGAAAUCUGUUCAGAUUUUGUGUACUUGCUAUUUCUGCUACCCAUAGCCCCCCCCUUUGAGUUGGUCGGGCUUAGACUGUUUCCUUCCCAGGCAGCCCUACUUCGGCUGUGGGGUUUUUUUGUUUUGUCUCUCUCUCUCUCUUUCCCCCUUCUCGAGCUGAAAGAUUAAACCGCCCCUCCUUGGGCUUUUUUGGUGGCUUAAAUUGCCCCCCCCCUCGGGAUUUUGGCUUAAUUUGCCCCUGCUUGGGCAGCCCUUCUUCGGCUGUAGGAUUUCCCCCCUUUUCUCGGGAUGAAAGAUUGCCCCUCCCUGGGCUUUCCCCCCCCCAUUGCCCCUCUUGGGCUGAGGAGAACCAAAAGACGUCUUUGGAUUUCACUCUCUUACUCACUCAAUCUCUCUGUUCACACUUUCAUUCACUCUUGCCUCAAUUCCCAGAUGUGGCGUGUUGUGACGACUGGCGCAUCCCGGGCCCAUGAGAAUCCUCCACAGACAAAAGCUGUGGGGCGCGCUGGAUCUCACUGUCCCGUGACGGGUCAGACUGUCCACCCAGAGUCACAUCCGAGUCACGGCACCAAAUUGAUGUGAAUUUGGUUCAUCCCUGGGUCCGCCUUAAGCCAAUCAAACAGACACAGUGGGAAUCAAUUAGAGGCUUGGUUUAAUGCUCUGCAGAAGCAGAUAGACAAUGGGGCUCACGCAUCACAUUGAAUACAAAUUGGUUAUAGGUGCAUCUUACAUUUAUACAGACAAUCUGAAUAAUGCUGACAUAGUAGUCAGUCAUGUUUAUUUACGGUCAUAGACCAAAAUUUACAUACAUAAUAAUACACGUAAUAUAGUAAUAAUAUAUACAUAAUAUAAUCAGGAACAUGGACUCAUCCUAAUCAGCAAUUUCCCGUUAGCAUAAUCUGAUUUACCAUCUGUUGUCUAGCCUUCUUAGCUGCCUCACAGAACUUAGCAACUUUAAAUGUUACUUCCUCCUUCUGAUCUGAGAGCAGAUAGUUGACGUAAAAUGCAUCUAUAUGCCCUGGGAAAUCAGUCAGUAAGGAGGAAAUAUAACAAGUUCGUAAGUCCCUAUAAAAAAGACAGCGGAGUAAGAUAUGGAAGAUAGACUCCUGUUCUCCAGAGCCACAAGGACAUAGUCUCUGUUCUUUUGGGAUGCUGACAUAGUAUACAUGGCAGUAAAAUGGUGGACUAAGUAUCUAGUACGCAUGCGAAUGAUUCAUUGUUCAUCUGGUGAUCACUCCUUAUUUGGUUACAUCCUGUUUUAUUAACUUGUCAGCAAAGAACAAUGAGAAUCUUGUGAGAACCAAGUUUCAUAGAUACAUUUUAGUGGAGAGAGAUUAUGACAUUGGCUGUGAUGUCUCUGAGCUUGGCUGGGGUUACUUUAAGUUAGAAUUAGGUUUUCUAAGCAAAUUUGGAGAUGCUUUGGUAUUCUAUGUAAAAUGGAGUUACUUUGGUUUACUCAAACACAUCAACGGUGACCCUCCUCCGUCGGCAGUUUCGCUCGCUCCGGCCAGCUCUCAGAUCCUCCCUGCCCCGGUCUCGGCGGACUGGUCUCCGUCCGAGCAGGCAGUUGGAGAGGCUCCGCGUUCGAUCGCGCCCCCCUCGGGCUGCGAGUUUGCGAGCACGACGGAGAGGACGAGGCCGCUUGAUCACCCCAGGCUCUCAACGCGCAGCUCAGCGGCAGAGCGGGCAACGUUGAGAGAUUAACAGAGCAGCUUUGCUUGGGUGCAGAGUCCCUCCGUGUCACCGGCCGUUUGCCUCCCCGAUCCUACCUCAGCGGCCGAAAGACCAUCCGAGCGGACGGAGCGAGAGGGCCUCAGUUUGUUCCCGCCACUGAGCGGUGAAAAAUGGGCCUUGCUAAGGAGGGAGCAUUCCGCUGCUUUACCUCCUGUCUCUUUCUUUAGUUCAGUUCCUUUGUGUUCCAUAUAUAUAUAUAUAUAUAUAUAUAUAAACACAAAACAAAAAACCCCCAAAACCUCAACAGACGGUGGUGAGAUCUGAUCAACGUAUGGGGGGUGCGGGGACCUCUGAGAGGAAUGUUUCUGUGGCGAUUCCUAAACAGGUCCCGCCCGAGUGGCAAGCAGGGCUAAAGAGUGCCAUAGUAGAUACUGUCUACCAAUUAAAGCCACUAAAGCAGUUAGAAAAGCUAUUUCAGGGCAUUCUCCAGAACUUUCAGGGGAAUCAGCUUGAAGUGGCUGUGAAGAGUGUUUUGAGAGGCUCCCUGUUGCCAACGCCCCACCAACCUCUGAGGAGAUUAGGCGGAUUGGCGAGCUGGCUAGCAACCUGAGCGGCAGGGCAGCGAGGCCAUCACAGGCAUCUCCUGCCCUUCCUAAGAUGGCGACGGUUGCGAAGAAUCCCUCCAUUUUACCUGAAGGAGCUGGUAAUGUAAAAGGGAGACAGUCUCUAAAAGGGCGGGAAAAGCCUAGGACUGUGAUGAUGGUGUUUGGCCAGCAGGGGGAGUCUGCUGCAGAGACGGGGCCUCAAGAAGCCUCCAGUUCUAACUCUGCUGUUCUACCGAAGUCUGUGCCGCCACCUGAGUAGCAAGCAUGGUUUCGCAAUGCAGUCAUUGGCACCAUCUACCAGAUUAGGCCCCCUAAGAGGACAGACCACUACAGAUAUGUGGAGGACACCAAACGCGGAUGCCCUCAUUUCGCAAGUGGUGUCGGAUUCCCUGGUAUCUCGAGAGGAAGAAAGAACAUGAUGGUCCAUAUGCCGUCCAGGGUCAGGUUAUCGCUUCGGGGGUGGAGAUCCCCACAGAACUUGUCCAGAAGGAAGAGAUUCUUAAGGUUCCUGAGAACGAUCGUGAUGACGGACACCAGCAACAGAGGUUGGGGAGCUCAUUGUCUCCAAUUCUCGGUCCAAGGGAAAGGAAGUCAGGAAGAAGAGUGGAUCCCCCCCCCCAGUCCCCAGCCAGGACCUACAACAAGCUAAGCUCUAAUGCAUGAUGAAAGGCCCAGCUGGUGUCUGGAGCUCUCCCCCAUAGCUCGUGGGGCCUUCCAGGUAAAUCUGGAGGGCACAGCUGCCCCUUCCAGGGGGAAGCCAAGUCAACCAGCAGCAGCAGCAGCACCGGCAGCCUCAUGCACCGCCACUCCGGCUCGAAGCCGCCACGGGAGAAGGUCGUGGAAACGGCGGCUCUGACUCCGCGCAGGCAGGCUUGGCAGCCACGCGCCUCGUGGUGCCAGAGAUCUCGCUCUCACUCUUCUUUCUUCGCUCCUCCCCUCCACUUCCUCCUCUCAGAUCCGCCUCCCAAUUCGCAGGAUUGGACCCUCUGGGCUUCCUCCCCCCUCCUCCUCCUCCGGCCAUGCUGCCUUCCCGUCCCCGCCUCCCGGUCCCAACAGCAUCCCCAGCUCCUCUCGCUCAUUGGCUGAGCCAUUAAGGCCGCGUGCCCACACACACUCAGAGUCACACACCCCUCCCGCAAAGCCUGGCCUCCUCUCCGGGGGGGGGGCAGAUCUGCCCUUUAGGGGCUGGGUGGGGACUUAAUAGGAAUAGGGUCAGCGGGGCGCAAGUGUGGGUGCUGCAGCGGGGCGCGACCUCCCCAGCCCUGCAGGUGGACGAGGAAGGAGCAAUCAAUGGGGAAAGUCUCUCUCUGUGUGUGUGUGUGUGUUGCAAACAGCAAGAUGCAUUCUUCCCCGGGCGGGCAGCACCUUUUCAGCCCCAAGCAGGAAAGAUCCCUGGCUCCUCCAGGCUGCUUCUGAGGACCGGGAGAGAAGCUGGAGGAAGGGGAGAAGAAAUCUGUCUCCUUCCUUUAGCAGCGGCUGCUAAUUCUCUGAUGAAAGGGUACGCAAGUGGGGGGGGGGGCUGCACUCCUCCUCCUCCUCCUCCUCCUCCGCAUGCCAUCCUGCAGGGGGAUUUGUGCACAGGGAAGGAUUCAGGCAUGGGAUUCUGCCCAGACUGACCCUUCAUUCUGGAAUGGGAUGGAGAUGCUCAGGGCCAUCCAUUUCUCCGUCCUUUCUCUGCUCACAUGGUCCAGAGCACCAUGUGGGUGCAGUUUGGAAGGCAGGCACAGAAGGUCCAUCGGGCUCAGCAUUGUCUACAGAAGGAAGCCAGCGUGGUGUAGUGGUUAGAGUGCUGGACCAGGACCGGGGAGACCCGAGUUCCAAUCCCCAUUCAGCCAUGAGACUAGCUGGGUGGCUCUGGGCCAGUCACUUCUCUCUCAGCCUCGCCUACUUCACAGGGUUGUUGUGAGGAGAAACUCAAGUAUGUAGUACACUGCUCUGGGCUCCUUGGAGGAAGAGUGGGAUAUAAAAUGUAAUAAAUAAAAUAAAAUAAAAAGAAGGGCUGCUGCACAACUGAAGCCUUCCUGUUGGUUUUGGACUACAACUCCCAGCAUCCCUGGACACAUAAGCCAAUAGUCAGGGAUGAUGGGAGUUGUAGGCCGACCUCCGCAGCUCUUAAGCCGGAAGAGGCCAGAAGGACCCCUUGUAAACCAAACUGGAUCCCCAAAGGAGAGGGAUGGGUGAGAGGCGAUGGAGAGCAAGAUUGGAGCUGCUUCAAGGUGCUCCUACUGACCUGUAUUUCCAAUGCUCCCACCCAUGUCUUAGAGGCAAUUGGAUUCCAAGCUGCACAGACAGAAAGAGAGGUUUCCCCUUCCAGUGCCCAUACGGCAACCUUAGAUUAGAGGGGUCCUUCUCUAAAUUUUUCGGACAUGGCAUGGUCUAUCUGGUCCUGAGAAGAAAACCUGGCUGUGCUUAAGGCAGUCACAGUUCGUGAAGAAACUUGUGUAGUCCACCAGCUUGCAAGCAAACGUUCUGUGAGCUUAGCAAAGCUAUUGAGAAACAGCUUUGGAAAUUAAAGGUCCCAUUCCCUUAUUAAAAUCAGAAAAAAGUUGAAAUCAUGCUCCCCUCGCCUUUCUUUUCUUUUUCCCCACGUAGGAGAUCAGGAAAUGUCUGGAUCCCCUCUGUGAUUCUCCGUGGUGCAUUGGAUGGAGGAAAGGCUUAGUCGGCAAUAGUUUCGGACUCACUUGAUACAUUGAGCCGUUUUGCAAAUUCAAAGCUGCAUCUGACAGAUUCCUGUAUGUACAAGUGAGGAACUGAUGUCGUGUGAGAAGCAGGAAAGGGAGUAUUUUAUGAGCCUGCGGGACUUGGCCGAGCCUCGUGCUGAGUUGCUGCAGCUGCCUGCUCAUCACCGCAACAUGCUGGAGGUGGGCGCGGAAGAUCAUGAGAUCUUCUUGUCCUGCAAGGAAGGGAAACCAAUGGGACAAAGGGGCUUCUUGCCACCCUACCAGGUGCGACCUUGACCUUCUGGACCCUGCCCCUGUCCACACUUUGUUCUUGUUAACAAAUCAGGUUAUCCAUUUAUCUUCUUAAAUUGUGCUCCAGCUUUUAAUCUGGGCUCUUUUUCCCCCAUCAGGCACCACCAAUAAAUUUUCUGCUGGGUUUCACCUCAUUUUUCUUCUUCCAAGUCACACGUGUGCUGUAAGGAAGAGAGAAAACUGGUCAGAGCCCCGGUUAGCAAGUGAGGGCAGAGCUGGUCUUGUGGUAGCAAGCAUGACUUGUCACCUUAGGUAAGCAGAGUCCAUCCUGGUUGCAUAUGAAUGGGAGACUUGAUGUGUGAGCACUGGAAGAGAUUCCGCUCAGGAGAUGGAGCCACUCUCGGAAUUGAAGAAUUCCCUCCCUGGCAGCAUCUCCAAGAUAAGACAGAGAGAUACUCCUGCUUGCAACCCUCGAGAAGCCACUAGACAAUACUGAGCUAGAUGGACCAAUGGUCUGACUCAGUUUAUGGCAGCUUCCUAUGAGGGGAGCCUUAAGGAGUUAGGAAAGGGGGAAACAGCAUUUUUGCCAGCCUGCGUUCCUCGGAGGAAGGGAAGGAUAGAAAUGUCCAACAUACGUCUGUCUGUAACCCGCAUAUUCCUCUUGAUUACUAGCCACAUGUGCUUUGAUUCUAAGCAUGUAGACUGAGAAGCAAAUUUGAAGGGAUGUCCCAGAGGAAAACCUGAAGCAUAUUUAACUGAUGCAACCCCAAAAGGCAAUUUGAACCCCAAACCAAAGCACACAUCACACAAAUGCCUUCAGCAGCAGCACAGAUCAGUCAUCAAAUGACUGUGUACAAAUCCUGUUGGAUCCAUGGAGGGAAGAGAGAAAGAAACCUCCCUUCUGUGAUGGCCUCUACCACACUUCAGGUUAAGUUACCCCUUCUCGGCACCAUGGAUCAUUCCGCUACGGCAGCCGUGUUCAAGGCUGGUGAAAUCUCCUUAGUGCUGGUAAAUGUGUAUGAAGCACCGAUUCGAAUCCACGCCCAGGCAAGCAUGAUCUGGUCCGGACUGGAGGCCUUUAUAGGCGAUAUACAGUCUACCCAUCAUGGAGUUUACUUAAGAAGGGCUGGAGACUUUAACGCUCGAAUUGGAAUAGACUCUUCUUGCCAAAUUCCAGCAGUGUCCUCCCGAUCAGGUUGUGCCUCCCCCUCUCCUAAUCAGACAAUCUAAAGAUAUAGUGGGGAGCUCCUGUGCUCUGAAUUUCCUCCAGACCUGAAGCCGGGCAGAUUUGCACUUCUUGAAUGGGGCGGUUUUGAGCGACUCCCCAGCAGAAUUCACUCAUUGGGUGGGCUCCCAACCUCCACUUAUCGAUUUCACAGCCACAUCCCGUAAUUUAGCUCCCCAUAGAAGGAAAUUCCACAUUAUUAGUCGCCCGGAAAGUGAUCGCUUCCCAAUGAACUUGAGCAUAUGCUGGAAGGGGAAACUCCAUCUCGACAGGAAUCAGGCCCCAGUUAGAGAGCGGGAGCAAAGUCCACUCCGUGUGAAAUGGUCUUCCAGUCAACAAAAUCUAGUCGCCCCGAUUCUAAAUUCACCCCAAGUGUGCAUUCUACAAACUGCUUUAAUUAUCGGUUGGCAUGAUUCUUGCGAGAGCCCGAAGUUAGAACACUAUAACAGUUUAUGUGAAGACUUUCAUGGGAAGACUUUAAUUCAGGUUUUUAUGUGAUGGUCUCCAUUGCUGCUUAGGAACAUAGAAGCCAUAUACUUCUGCCAUAUACUGAGUCAGACCAUUGGUCCAGCGAGCUCAGUAUUGUCUUCACAAACUGGCAGCGGCUUCUCCAAGGUUGCAGGCAGGAAU